UGAUCCAGGGAGGUAGUGACAAGAAAUAACAACCUAGUCGUAAGACAGUGGAUUGUAAUGAGUGCAAUUUAAAACACUGCACGAGGAACAAUUGGAGGGCAAGUCUGGUGCCAGCAGCCGCGGUAAUUCCAGCUCCAAUAGCGUAUAUUAAAGUUGUUGCAGUUAAAAAGCUCGUAGUUGAAUUUCUAGGCAUCAUUAAAUUUAACAAUCGUUUGUUUAUUGGUGUUUAUCCGACAUUGAACUUAAAUUGGUAUUUGGUUAUCAUUUAAGCGAACUGUCAUUUUACUUUGAAAAAAUUAGAGUGUUUCAGGCAGGCUUACGCCCGAAUAUCUUAGCAUGGAAUAAUGGAAUAGGACUUUGGUUCAUUUUAUUGGUUAUUGAAUCAUAGUAAUGAUUAAUAGGGACAGUUGGGGGCAUUAGUAUUUAAUUGUCAGAGGUGAAAUUCACAGAUUUAUUAAAGACUAACUUAUGCGAAAGCAUUUGCCAAGGAUGUUUUCAUUAAUCAAGAACGAAAGUUAGGGGAUCAAAGACGAUCAGAUACCGUCCUAGUCUUAACUAUAAACUAUACCGACUCAGGAUUGGCAGAAGUUUCUUACUCUGUCAGCACUGUAUGAGAAAUUAAAGUCUUUGGGUUCUGGGGGGAGUAUAGUCGCAAGGCUGAAACUUAAAGGAAUUGACGGAAGGGCACCACCAGGAGUGGAGCCUG
rnacentral:rRNA from 1 species